rnacentral:rRNA from 1 species
AUUGAACGCUGGCGGCAGGCUUAACACAUGCAAGUCGAGCGAGUGGCGGACGGGUGAGUAAUGUCUGGGAAACUGCCUGAUGGGGGGGGUUAAAUACUGGAAACGGUAGCUAAUACCGCAUACCAUCAGAUGUGCCCAGAUGGGAUUAGCUAGUAGGUGGGGUAAUGGCUCACCAAGGCGACGAUCCCUAGCUGGUCUGAGAGGAUGACCAGCCACACUGGAACUGAGAAACGGUCCAGACUCCUACGGGAGGCAGCAGUGGGGAAUAUUGGACAAUGGGCGAAAGCCUGAUGCAGCCAUGCCGCGUGUUUGAAGAAGGCCUUCGGUUUGUAAAGCACUUUCAGCGAGGAGGCGUUACUCGCAGAAGAAGCACCGGCUAACUCCGUGCCAGCCGCCGCGGUAAUAC